GACGAACGCUGGCGGCGUGCUUAACACAUGCAAGUCGAACGGAAAGGCCCUGCUUUUGUGGGGUGCUCGAGUGGCGAACGGGUGAGUAACACGUGAGUAACCUGCCCUUGACUUUGGGAUAACUUCAGGAAACUGGGGCUAAUACCGGAUAGGAGCUCCUGCUGCGUGGUGGGGGUUGGAAAGUUUCGGCGGUUGGGGAUGGACUCGCGGCUUAUCAGCUUGUUGGUGGGGUAGUGGCUUACCAAGGCUUUGACGGGUAGCCGGCCUGAGAGGGUGACCGGCGACAUUGCGACUGAGAUACGGCCCAGACUCCUACGGGAGGCAGCAGUGGGGAAUAUUGCCCAACGGGCGGAAGCCUGAUGCAGCAACGCCGCGUGCGGGAUGACGGCCUUCGGGUUGUAAACCGCUUUCGCCUGUGACGAAGCGUGAGUGACGGUAAUGGGUAAAGAAGCACCGGCUAACUACGUG
rnacentral:rRNA from 1 species